UACAGAGGGUGCGAGCGUUAAUCGGAAUUACUGGGCGUAAAGCGCGCGUAGGCGGCUUUGCAAGUCGGGUGUGAAAUCCCCAGGCUUAACCUGGGAACUGCAUUCGAGACUGCAUUGCUAGAGUAUGGGAGAGGGAAGUGGAAUUUCCGGUGUAGCGGUGAAAUGCGUAGAUAUCGGAAGGAACACCAGUGGCGAAGGCGGCUCACUGGACCGGAACUGACGCUGAGGCGCGAAAGCGUGGGGAGCAAACAGG
rnacentral:rRNA from 1 species